GGAUGAACGCUAGCUACAGGCUUAACACAUGCAAGUCGAGGGGCAUCAUGGAGCUUGCUUGCAAACUCUGAUGGCGACCGGCGCACGGGUGAGUAACGCGUAUCCAACCUUCCCUAUAGUAGAGGAUAGCCCGGCGAAAGUCGGAUUAAUACUCUAUGUUUUCCGUUGCAGACAUCUAAGAUGGAACAAAGGCUUGCCGCUAUAGGAUGGGGAUGCGUCUGAUUAGGUAGUCGGCGGGGUAACGGCCCACCGAGCCUUCGAUCAGUAGGGGUUCUGAGAGGAAGGUCCCCCACAUUGGAACUGAGACACGGUCCAAACUCCUACGGGAGGCAGCAGUGAGGAAUAUUGGUCAAUGGGCGCGAGCCUGAGCCAGCCAAGUAGCGUGCAGGAUGACGGCCCUAUGGGUUGUAAACUGCUUUUAUGCGGGGAUAAAGUUCACUACGUGUAGUGUUUUGUAGGUACCGCAUGAAUAAGGACCGGCUAAUUCCGUGCCAGCCGCGGC
rnacentral:rRNA from 1 species